AAAUCAGAGAUUGAAAUUUUAGAAGCCUUUCAAGUCGCAAAAUAGCUCAUCUCUUUUUGUCCUUGUCCAUCAGUUCCCUCUUUUGUCAUUUGCAUGUAUCAUAGUGAGAUACUCCUUCGUUGCUAUUGUUUUGGGGACAAUCUGCUUUCAAGAGGCUACCAUGUGGAUGUCUCCCCGUCUGUCCUGUGCUUUUCCCUUGGAAGCCCUCACAUCCAAUCACAAGGAAAUCGGAUGAGAAACCUGGGACUCAGAGGGAGCAGUAACUGUCAGAUUCACCGUCACACAUCCUCGCAUGGUGGAUGUCAUCUACCUGCUCAAUGUAGCGUUCUCUGAACUGACCACCUUCUGUGGAUAUCCUGGCAAGCUAGAUGUUUUAAUUCCAAGAUCACAGUGUCCAAGUUCGGCCAGAUGUAUGUGAUGUAAUAAACUACAUUUCUUU
rnacentral:lncRNA from 1 species